ACUGAUAUAGGUGACUAUCAGGUAAAACUACGCAACCUGACUGGUUUCCUAGAAGAAGGCAACAAAGUGAAAGUUACUAUUCGCUUCCGUGGCCGAGAAAUGGCUCACCAAGAGAUCGGUGUUGACGUUCUAAACCGUUUGAAAGAGGACACAGAUGAAAUCGCUGUGGUUGAAUCUUUCCCUAAACGGAUUGAAGGUCGCCAAAUGAUCAUGGUGCUUGCCCCUAAGAAGAAGUAAUUAACGGCUUACAAGUAUUAAAGCUCAGCCGUGUUAAGCGACUGGGCUUUAUUCGCCCUAAUUACGUUGUUAUUAAACUACUACAAUGCGGAGUUCUUCAUCAUGCCUA
rnacentral:misc_RNA from 1 species